UCCCUCUUAGCUCAGUGGUAGAGCGCUUCACUAGUAUUAGUUCUGGAUGUUCACGCACUAUGAAGAGGUCAGUCGUUCAAGUCGGCUAGAGGGAA